GUUGGUGAGGUAACGGCUCACCAAGGCGACGAUCCCUAGCUGGUCUGAGAGGAUGACCAGCCACACUGGAACUGAGACACGGUCCAGACUCCUACGGGAGGCAGCAGUGGGGAAUAUUGCACAAUGGGCGCAAGCCUGAUGCAGCCAUGCCGCGUGUAUGAAGAAGGCCUUCGGGUUGUAAAGUACUUUCAGCGGGGAGGAAGGUGUUGUGGUUAAUAACCGCAGCAAUUGACGUUACCCGCAGAAGAAGCACCGGCUAACUCCGUGCCAGCAGCCGCGGUAAUACGGAGGGUGCAAGCGUUAAUCGGAAUUACUGGGCGUAAAGCGCACGCAGGCGGUCUGUCAAGUCGGAUGUGAAAUCCCCGGGCUCAACCUGGGAACUGCAUUCGAAACUGGCAGGCUUGAGUCUUGUAGAGGGGGGUAGAAUUCCAGGUGUAGCGGUGAAAUGCGUAGAGAUCUGGAGGAAUACCGGUGGCGAAGGCGGCCCCCUGGACAAAGACUGACGCUCAGGUGCGAAAGCGUGGGGAGCAAACAGGAUUAGAUACCCUGGUAGUCCACGCCGUAAACGAUGUCUACUUGGAGGUUGUGCCCUUGAGGCGUGGCUUCCGGAGCUAACGCGUUAAGUAGACCGCCUGGGGAGUACGGCCGCAAGGUUAAAACUCAAAUGAAUUGACGGGGGCCCGCACAAGCGGUGGAGCAUGUGGUUUAAUUCGAUGCAACGCGAAGAACCUUACCUGGUCUUGACAUCCACAGAAGAAUCCAGAGAUGGAUUUGUGCCUUCGGGAACUGUGAGACAGGUGCUGCAUGGCUGUCGUCAGCUCGUGUUGUGAAAUGUUGGGUUAAGUCCCGCAACGAGCGCAACCCUUAUCCUUUGUUGCCAGCGGUUAGGCCGGGAACUCAAAGGAGACUGCCAGUGAUAAACUGGAGGAAGGUG
rnacentral:rRNA from 1 species